UUUGUGCAAAGGUAGCAUAAUCAUUAGUCUUAUAAUUGAAGACUGGAAUGAAAGGAUAAACUGGAAAAUCUCUUUUUUAAGUAUUCUUCUCAAAAUUUACUUUUUAGUAAAAAGGCUAAAAUAUCUCUUUUAGACAAGAAGACCCUAUAAAACUUUACAUAAAAUAAUCAAAUAAAUUAAAAAUAUGUUUUACUGGGGCGGUGAGAGGAUAAAACACCUCAAAAUUAUUAUAAAUAUUAUGAUUGUAAUACCCAAAAAUUUUGAAAAUUAAAUAAGCUACUUUAGGGAUAACAGCGUAAUAUGUUUAGAAAGUUCAAAUUGACAAACAUGUUUGCGACCUCGAUGGUGGAUUAAUUUUCCUUUGCUGGCAAGGGCAGUCC
rnacentral:rRNA from 1 species